AAACAUAUGCAUACAGAACACGUGCAACACAAUUGAUCUGUAAACGGAUCGAUGCUUCUAUACAUACGCACAUACACUCAAGCACAUAAACAAUAUAGGACCAUCUUCAAUCGACAACACUAUAGACAUCUGCCCAAUGUAAGCCAUGAGAAUGUGAGGUCAUCUGUUUCUUCUAGGACAACAAGCAACCAAACGCCCUAUCGAUCAGGGAAAUCACGAUCAAGCCCAAUGUAUAGCGAUUGCUUCUCGAGGACAACGGAUGAAUUGUUGUAGCUAAUCUAUAGAAGCUCGAUCAAAUAUUCAAAAGGUACAAGUCUAUUGAAAUAUAGAUAUCAAAAUAAAAAUAAAUAAAUGAUUUCAUAAGUACUUCACCAAGAACACGGAUAGCUGAAUUUCAGAAAUAUAUAAACCUAAACUCCUAGAUUAAAAUGUGGAAUAGACUAAAAUAAAAUGGAUUGUUAUUUAUGCCAUAUGUUGAGUGUGAUUUGCUACUCAUUUUUAGUGGACCAUGAUUGAUAAGAUUAAAACUUGAUCAUUGGUUUUUUUUAAUGGAUAGCCGGGUUCAACUUAAAAUUAGAAUAAGCCUAAUGCGUUUGAUUGUUUCUUCACUUCGAGAGCACUCAAAUUUUCACUUGUGCAUCUGAUAUUAAAAAAAACACUAAGUAUAGCAUACACUACAAAAAAAAAUACUUAUGCACACUACAGCAAGCACACACUCACAUAAUGCCUACUAAAGAUUAGAAUCGCAGCAUCAAUAUAUCUAAUACACUUCUACAAAAGAAAAUGAAAAGGAGGCCGAUCCCUCCGGCCUAUGCAUCAUGCACACAGUCAUAUAUGCUUCUACAAAAUAAAUGUAUGUUCACGAAUUAAUAACCCAAAACAUGGCACAUUGAAUAAUUUGUGCAACUUAAUUUAGUUUCUGGUAGAUAUUAUAUUGGCCAUGAUCUAUUCUACAAUGUAAAACCAAUAUUCCUCUUUAUGUAACAACACAAUUUAAAAACAAAGUAGGAAAUAAAAUAUGAAUACAAACUACAAGAUAUAUAUUAGCAUAAGUAAGUCUAGCUGCACAAAUUAUGUGUGGGUCACCAUGCUAUAGUUACGCAAUAAAAGAGCUAACGCAAAAGGUGAAUAUUUUCCCUAUUUUGAAAAAAAAAUACUAGGAUCCGCACAUGAACGGCUAAGGUGGGUACUUUCAUUUUCCCCUUAGAUGAGUGGAUUUCUAUGUUCAUCCACAAUUGGACGGCUUAGAUGAGGCACAUGGCUCCAAACUAAAAUCUUAUUUCCACGCA
rnacentral:lncRNA from 1 species